CUACACAGUGACCAUAAGUAACCUGACUGAAUAUGAUACUGGGACAUACUGGUGUGGAGUACAAAACAGGACAAAAGACGUGUUGCAUUACUUUUCACUGUUUACUGAGGUACAUCUCAAUGUGACUGAUUCUGCACCACCAACAUCAACACCUCCAGCAACAUCGAAACCAUCAGCAGCAUCCAUCAGCAUAUUUGGUAUCUUUGUAAUGGUGUUUGUGUCUGGGAUUCUGGUUGUGCUGUUCUCUCUCAUUCUGAUCAUUGUCAACAAAAGAAAAUG